GGCGCUGCUGGCGGCGGCGCGGCAGCGUCUCCAGCUAUCCGGCCGCGGCCGCUGCUGCUCGAGCUGCACAGCCGGAGAGAUGCUGCUCCGCUCCGCGCCGCGCUGAGGCCGUGCGUGCGCCCGUCCGCCGGCGGGGCUGCGUGCUCCGCGCGAACAUAGUCCCUCCAUGUGAGCUGGCAGGCGAUUGGAAACCCCUCUGAGUCACGCUGCCCAGCGGCCGGGGGAGCACUCGCCCGCCUGCAGUGGCAGCAUCAGCACCGCCGUCUCUGGCGCGCUCCCUUCUUCUGCAGCCUCCGCUCUUCUGAUUUUCCACCUAGUCCCCUGAGCAAGAGGCAAGAACCGCGCGGAGGGAAGAGGAAGGCUGCGACCGCCCUGCUGUUCCGAGCCCGGCCGGACUGGAACGCGGAGGGGGUGAGGGGAGAAGAGGAAGCCGGAGGGGCUCGGCUUUCUGUGGUGCCUGAGGACAGCCCAUCUCUCUCCAAGCACCCCACGGGGAGACGGACGGCGUCUCUCCGCAGCGAGCUUUUGGAGUACCGCGAGCCCGGGGGCUAAGGAUGGUGGAGGCUCCGCGCUCCGGUUGCGGGGCAGCGCUUUCGCUUUGGCUGGUCGGCAGCAUCCUCUGCAGAGCCUGGACGGCUCCCGCCACGUCCCGUAAGUAGCCCUAGCGCAAGCCUGCUCUGCGAUGGAGCACUUUCAGUGCCGCAGUGAUGUUCCACCCCAGGGUACCAACUCUGAGGUGCCUUCUCUGGUCUCGCUCCCUGAUUUGUGUGUGUGGCUCUGCUGUCACGCACUUGGAACCACUGCAGCAGGGAAGGCUCCAAAUCCCGCUCCCUUGGUUUGGGGGAAGAGGGUUUUGACGCCGCUGAUGUUUCUGGAAAGUUGUUUCUGGUCCUGGAGAUUGGUUGGCUGCUGCUUGGUUAGAGUGAUUAGUGUAGGUGACAGCUACUCGGGAGUUAUUCUUCCACUUCGGUGUGUUUGUGUAGAGGAAGUUUAUUGCGUUUUGCUUAGGUAGGUCAGUAAAUGAAAAGUGAAAACAUGGCAAAAAUAAGUUUCUUAUUUUUAUACCUAUGGUUUUAACUUAAAUGAACACGGUUUUGGGGAUGAAAAAAGGAUCAUAUUUGGAGCAGCUUGGGCAUCUAUGGACUUCUCUUUAUCACCCUCUCCCCAACAAAUUAAUGACUGUUUAGUACUUGCUUAUUAAAAUGGAAGACGGCGAAUCCAAUAUUUUACCUGAAAUUGCUUUGCCUCUUUGGCAGUUGGAUGUAAUGCAGUCUAGGACUUGGGACGGUCAGUGCAAAACAUCAUUAAGGCAGUAAUGAACAGAUUUCUUACAAGAGUUCUCAGGAAAAUAAUGAUGCUGUUCCAUAUAUUUCUCCCUGUGUGUUUAGGUGGCUUCUUCUAGAAAAGAUUGUUCAUUUAUUCAUGAGGUUAGAAAGAGUAAAAAGAAAUGGAAGAUUCCAGCUCAUCGUCUGCAGGGCUUUAGAAGUGCAUGCUGUGCAUCUAGAGAGGAAAUGCAUGGUUGCUCCUUUGGUUCAGAAAGAGUUAAACAGUAGAAAGAUUGCCUAUAGGAAUCUUAGGAUAAUAUUCAUUAGGCAUACUUGUUUUUUAGGAUGACUGAGUUGUUAAAGAAUUAUCAUGGAGAUUUUAGAGUUUGAAAAUAAGUGUCUUCCAUUAUAGGAAAAAAAAAGUUUGGUGUUUUCCAGAAUUCAUAUAUGAAGUAGUACUACCUCUUUAUCAUAUCCUGGGAUUCAUGAAUGCAUCUUUGUCCAUACAUUAAUAUGAAUGCUCCUAUCCUGGUAUGUAAAUAUUAAUAAGAAUAAACAUUGAAAAAGGACUUUAGAAGUUGUGCUAAAGACUCUACUAAGUAAUAAUAUCGUGUGAUGAACCAGUAUUACUGUUUUGACAUAAUUUCCCAAGUAUAGUAUUUGCUUCUUUUUUCUCGCGUUUAAAGAUAGAGAAACCACUAAUUGGGAAUCUAAGUUUGUAAUGAACUUGAAAACACUUUUAUAGUUUUUUCCACGAAAUAGAUUAUACUUCAGAAUGUGAUGUUUUAUUAAGAUUUAAUGUCAGUUGUAUAGAUUUAAACAUAAAUUAUGCAGAUAUAUUUACAUAAAUAUAUAACAAUAUACUGAGAAAACUAUUCUGAUGAAAUUUCAGUUUCUUCAUCAGGGUCUGGCUGUAUAGAACUAAAUUGCCACUUUUCUUAGAAAAUAAACUCAUUAUAAAUUAAAUUAUUAUGUUCACAGAUUGAAGGCCCUCACAUCAAGUUUUUCCUGAGUUCUGUAUUUCAUCUUUCUGUGUACUCCAAUUAUAAAGAAUCAAUUUGAAAAAUUCACUGUGUCAAAAAUAGCGCAUAAGCAGCCAUUAGGCUGAUAUAUUUUAAGACUGGAAAAGUUGUUGUUUCCAAAAUAUAUUCUUAGUCCUCACAACUUAGUAGAGUUUGGUGAUAGGGAAGAGCGGAAACCGUUAGUUUUAAGAUAGUUAAUAGGUGUGUUUGAUUAUUAAGAUUUAUUUAUUUAUAUGUUAUACCCCUAGGCUUCAAAUGUAUAAUGGCUUAAUUGAUAUUAUUCUUUAUUUCAUUUGAAUUUAAAUUGUGUGACCAAAACUCAAAAGUUGUCCCCAUCCUAGAAAUAAAAUAAUAGCAAUGAUGUCAAUUUUACUGAUUAGAUUGAGCUUCACCUACUCUGUAUUUUAAAUUUAUAUUUUUACACUUAAUGACCAUUUUUAUUUAUAUUAUAUAAGUUCUGAAGAAGUUUGAUAGUUUUAUUCAUAAUACUAAAAACAU
ensembl:lncRNA